rfam:Solenopsis invicta Si_gnG.contig13235, whole genome shotgun sequence.
AGACAUCUGUUCCUCUGGCAAAGUCUUUCAUGCUUUGUCAGAUUUCAGAAUGUCUUAGAAUAAAACUGGGUUACUUCACCUGGAACUGUAUUUAAAUUACAUUGUCCAGUUUUUGCGGAUUCAGACAAUC